GUCGAAGCUCGCUUUCACUCCUCAGAGGGCUAGCGCUAAGGUUCUGGAAACUUCCCUGUUCCCAAAAUAGCCAGUUAGAAGGGUAGGAUAGUAGUCGGUUAUACAUAGAACUUCGCCCUCAGAGAGUUCCAGUUCUGAACUGAAUCUGUUGUUAAGCAGCUGGGUUAUCCUGGGCAAACCACUUAACGCCUCCAAACUUGGUUGGCCCAGUGGUCAUGAAUUAAAAUGGAUAUUCAACUGUUCCAUGAGGCAACGAAUGGGGAUUUUACAUAUUAAAUCAGCAUUGUCUGCUGGAGCUCUCUGCCACCUGGGAAGGCUCUGCAUUUGGGCUGUCAAAGCCACAAGCUCAGACAAUGAAGAUGGCAAACUGAAGGUGUACACUUCUUUCAAGUCAGUCACCAGAGGCUUAAGUGUUGGACUGUGUCUAUGGAUAUCCUAUUGCAGAACAUGGCGUUAGAUUAGUGAGAACAGUCUUCCUCUAUAGGCACAACUUUGCAUCAGACAUUUGAUGGGAGAGGUUCGUCUUUGAAGGGAAGUUUUAUUUAAGUCUGUCCCUGGAUCCACAUCAUCCGUACGUCUGUCUACAGGGCAAAGGACUUCAUCUUUCAUGAGUGCAAUUUCAAACUUGGUGCCAACGAGAGACAUCUUCCCUGGACUCAAAUGCGCGAAGCCUGAACAGGACAUCUUGAGUGUUAGCUUCUCUGGGACGGCUGCGGUGUGCAGCACAUUUUUGUUAAGGUGUUAUUCAAAGUUUCUGAUUAACAUAAGUUUUUCUUAAAAUUAUACAAAAACAUAAUACCAUGAUUAUGGAAAUAAAAAGCCACCCACAAGCUUACUAUCUUUACA
rnacentral:lncRNA from 1 species